UACAGAGGUCUCAAGCGUUUGUUCGGAUUCAUUGGGCGUAAAGGGUGCGUAGGCGGCGCGGUAAGUCGGGUGUGAAAUCUUGGAGCUUAACUCCGAAACUGCAUUCGAUACUGCCGUGCUUGAGGACUGGAGAGGAGACUGGAAUUUACGGUGUAGCGGUGAAAUGCGUAGAUAUCGUAAGGAAGACCAGUGGCGAAGGCGGGUCUCUGGACAGUUCCUGACG
rnacentral:rRNA from 1 species